rnacentral:rRNA from 1 species
AUUGAACGCUGGCGGCAGGCCUAACACAUGCAAGUCGAGCGGAUGAAGGGAGUUUGCUCCUGGAUUCAGCGGCGGACGGGUGAGUAAUGCCUAGGAAUCUGCCUGGUAGUGGGGGAUAACGUCCGGAAACGGGCGCUAAUACCGCAUACGUCCUGAGGGAGAAAGUGGGGGAUCUUCGGACCUCACGCUAUCAGAUGAGCCUAGGUCGGAUUAGCUAGUUGGUGGGGUAAAGGCCUACCAAGGCGACGAUCCGUAACUGGUCUGAGAGGAUGAUCAGUCACACUGGAACUGAGACACGGUCCAGACUCCUACGGGAGGCAGCAGUGGGGAAUAUUGGACAAUGGGCGGAAGCCUGAUCCAGCCAUGCCGCGUGUGUGAAGAAGGUCUUCGGAUUGUAAAGCACUUUAAGUUGGGAGGAAGGGCAGUAAGAUAAUACCUUGCUGUUUUGACGUUACCAACAGAAUAAGCACCGGCUAACUUCGUG